rnacentral:rRNA from 1 species
UACGUAGGGGGCAAGCGUUGUUCGGAUUCAUUGGGCGUAAAGGGCGCGUAGGUGGCGUCGUAAGUCGGGUGUGAAAUUUCGGAGCUCAACUCCGAAACUGCAUUCGAUACUGCGGUGCUUGAGGACUGGAGAGGAGACUGGAAUUUACGGUGUAGCAGUGAAAUGCGUAGAGAUCGUAAGGAAGACCAGUGGCGAAGGCGGGUCUCUGGACAGUUCCUGACACUGAGGCACGAAGGCCAGGGGAGCAAACGGG